UGGGGAAUAUUGCGCAAUGGGCGAAAGCCUGACGCAGCGACGCCGCGUGAGGGAUGAAGGUUUUCGGAUCGUAAACCUCUGUCAGAAGGGAAGAAACCGCACUGUGCUAAUCAGCAGUGCCUUGACGGUACCUUCAAAGGAAGCACCGGCUAACUCCGUGCCAGCAGCCGCGGUAAUACGGAGGGUGCAAGCGUUAAUCGGAAUUACUGGGCGUAAAGCGCACGUAGGCUGCUUUGUAAGUCAGGGGUGAAAUCCCACGGCUCAACCGUGGAACUGCCUUUGAUACUACUUAGCUUGAAUCCGGGAGAGGGUGGCGGAAUUCCAGGUGUAGGAGUGAAAUCCGUAGAUAUCUGGAGGAACAUCAGUGGCGAAGGCGGCCACCUGGACCGGUAUUGACGCUGAGGUGCGAAAGCGUGGGGAGCAAACAGG
rnacentral:rRNA from 1 species